AUUAAUAUAAUAGUUUAUACACAUCUUACACAGUGUAAGAUGUGUAUAAACUAUUAAUA
rnacentral:tRNA from 1 species